rfam:Myotis lucifugus cont2.48151, whole genome shotgun sequence.
AGCUUUGCGCACUGGCGGUAUCGUAACCAAUGAGGUUUAACCGAGGCGCGAUUAUUGCUAAUUGAAAAAAAAAAAAGCGUGGCUCAGUGGUUGAGCAUCAACCUAUGAGCCUGGAGGUCACAGUU